rnacentral:rRNA from 1 species
GUCUACUGCCAUGCUACCCUGAACAAGCCCAAUCCCGUCUGAUCUCGGAAGCUAAGCAGGGUCGGGCCUGGUUAGUACUUGGAUGGGAGACCACAUGAGAAGACCAGGUGCUGAGGGCA